rnacentral:rRNA from 1 species
CACGUAGGGCGCAAGCGUUGUCCGGAAUUAUUGGGCGUAAAGCGCGCGUAGGCGGCUCUUCAAGUCGAGUGUGAAAGCUCCAGGCUUAACCUGGGAAUUGCGCUUGAUACUGUUGAGCUAGAGUGUGGAAGGGGCUACUGGAAUUCCGUGCGUAGCGGUGAAAUGCGUAGAUAUGCGGAGGAACACCUGCGGCGAAGGCGGGUAGCUGGGCCAACACUGACGCUGAUGUGCGAAAGCUAGGGGAGCAGACGGG